UCCUUCACCUCAGCCACUCAAGUAGCUGGGACCACUGGCACACCACCAUGCCUGGCUAAUUUUUGUAUUAUUGGUAGAGAUGGGGGUUCACCAUGUUACCUGGGCUGGUCUUGAACUCCUGGGCUCAAGCAAUCUGCCUGCCUCGGCCUCUCAAGGUGUUGGGAUAACAGGCGUCAAGCCACCGUGCCCAAAUUUGUCUUUUAGAGUCGGAUGCUGGAGCAUCCUCUCCUAGGCUGGGAGGUUGCUAAUGUAAAU
rnacentral:lncRNA from 1 species